CCUACGGGUGACAGCAGUGGGGAAUAUUGCACAAUGGGGGAAACCCUGAUGCAGCAACGCCGCGUGAGUGAAGAAGUUUUUCGGUAUGUAAAGCUCUAUCAUCAGGGACGAGAAUGACGGUACCUGAAUAAGAAGCUCCGGCUAACUACGUGCCAGCAGCCGCGGUAAUACGUAGGGGGCGAGCGUUAUCCGGAUUUACUGGGUGUAAAGGGAGCGUAGGCGGUUCUGCAAGUCUGAAGUGAAAGCCCGGGGCUUAACUGUGGGACGGCAUUUGAAACUGUGGUACUUGAGUGAUGGAGAGGUAAGCGGAAUUCCUAGUGUAGCGGUGAAAUGCGUAGAUAUUAGGAGGAACAUCAGUGGCGAAGGCGGCUUGCUGGACAUUAACUGACGCUGAGGCUCGAAAGCGUGGGGAGCAAACAGGAUUAGAUACCCGGGUAGUC
rnacentral:rRNA from 1 species